rnacentral:rRNA from 1 species
GUUGACCUCGGAUCAGGUAGGGAUACCCGCUGAACUUAAGCAUAUCUC